UACGUAGGGGGCAAGCGUUGUCCGGAAUUAUUGGGCGUAAAGCGCGCGCAGGCGGCGCUUUUAAGUUGGGGGUUAAAGGCAGUGGCUCAACCACUGUUCGCCUCCAAAACUGGAUCGCUUGAGUGCAGCAGAGGAAAGUGGAAUUCCCGGUGUAGCGGUGGAAUGCGUAGAGAUCCGGAAGAACACCGGUGGCGAAGGCGGCCUGCUGGGCAGUAGCUGACACUGAGGCGCGACAGCGUGGGGAGCAAACAGGG
rnacentral:rRNA from 1 species